GGAAUAUAUCAGAAUAUUUGGUCGUUGCCUUCUUGAGAGUUUUCUGCCUUUAUCUUCAGAAAGCAUUGAGCUAAAGUUUCAUGUGAGAAUCCUUUAUGAGCUGUUCCUUAUUUAGCUCUUGAAGGAUUAUCAAAUCUCAAACUUUUUCUAUCAAAAAAUUUUCUGGUUUUAUGCUUCAUGUGUGUUGGUAGUUCAUGCAUGAUUUGUGCCUUGAGGUGAUUGACAACCGAGGUGAGAGUUGUGCCAUCUUAAGAUUGACAAAGGAGAAAAAGGUCGUUGAUUUGGAAGUAGCAAAGACGAGGAGACACCGCUGCCCACUAGAUUGGUUCUAGUAGAUGAGUUGUGUAAGAUCUUUAUGUACUUUCAUAUUCAUAUAGUGGAUUGUUCAACAGCAUAGUGCCCGCAGUUGUUUACCUCUUUGGAGGGUUUUACUGCGUCAACAGAUCUUGUGUUAUGUGUGAUGAUUUUACUUUGGAUGGUUUUGGCAAAUUGAAUAAAUCAUAACGUCAUCAAAGAUCUGCAGUUUCAAUUAGGAUUCAAGUUUUAUUGCAAUCCUAUAUUAGGAUGCGAAGAGGUCUGCACUCGUAAGACUGAUUUCUAAAGUUGUUGACAUAUUGAUCAGUUUCGUUAGUUGAGAAUUACAUACAUCCAUUCUGUAAUUACAAGAAGGAAAAGAAGAAUCGAAGAGAGGGGAAGAUCUCGCUGAUAACCGUUCGGUUUGGAACUCUGCCACUUAGAUCAAGAUCGAAAAAAGCAAAAUAAAAGAAAAGAAGGAAAAGAAGAAUCGAAGAGAGGGGAAGAUCUCGCUGAUAACCGUCGGGUUUGGAACUCUGCCACUUAGAUCAAGAUAAAAAAAAGCAAAAGAAGAGAAAAGACGGAAAAGAAGAAUAGAAAAGAGGAGAAGAUCUCGCUGAGAGAAGAGAAAUAUUGUAGCAACAUGUGUUUGAAUCUUUGGAAGCUUCCCAAUGCCAACUGGUAAAUGGUCUGAUACUUAUUAGUCAGGAAAAAAGAGAACACGAGAAGAGGCCCUCCCCUCAAAGGUUUCAAUGAGAGUUUCAAAUAGGAUUGCAGCUUGCAAAAGCCUCGGAACUUUUCUGAUCGCUGCUGACCUUCAGUCAGGUAGUUUAAAGUCAAUGGAAAAGAUAAGUUUUGCAGCAGAAUCUCAGGCAAAGAGGGAAUGCUCUAAGGAAUGUAAGGAAGCUAUUGCACCACUGAUGCAUGCUGCAGCUAGAUUUUCUGGUUUACCAGAGUACAUUCUCUGACAUUAGGCAACUAUUUCUAGAGAGAAAUAUGAACUGUCUGACUCAUUGUGUACAUCAAAAGUUUUUGAUGUGUUCUACUGUAUCACAACCUUGGCUUUGGGAAGGCACAAGAGAUCUUGGAAAGAAAGCAUCUUCACAUUCUUCAACCAUUUCAGAUUGAGCUGAGAGGUGACAAAAAAUAGGAGAGAGUUGAUACAGCCGGCAAAAAAACUCCCCAAACUAAGCAGGUUGUUGACAACAAACUACUAGAGCAUAUACUGUAAACAAAUGAGAGUUAAGGAAAAGUAGCUGCAAGAGUCUCUCAGGUUGAAGAUUGAAGAUUGUUGGGUAAUAGUGUAAAAAGCAACAAUCCAGGAACUAUAGAAUUAUUGUGGUUGUGGGUGCAGCUGCUGUUCUGUGUAUUACCAGAUUAAAGGUGCUAUUUUUCUAAGAAGUUGUUUUCCUUCUUCUUUUUUUUUUUUUGGUUUCCUGUGCUUUGGUUGCAAUGUGGGUUGACAAUGUGAUUACAAAGUUUGGCUCUCUUUUCUUGCUGUUAGUCCAAAAGUUAUAAGCAAAAUGUAGCUAAUAUUACUCAUCUUGAAGUUUGUCCAGAUUAGUAUUUGUUAAAGUCUGAACUCACCUUUUCUUCUUUUCUUGCCAUGACAAAUGAAGUUGAUGAACCAAACCAACAGAACAAAAUAGUAUAACCAUCAAAACAAAGUUUUUCUUUUUUUUUCUUUUUUUUCCCUUUUUCUUUAGAAGAUGUGGUUUUGUUAGUACUAUAACUUGAAGAUUAUAGCAUGACAUUUUAUCUUUCCUGGUGAGACUUGAGUGUUUUUCAUUUAUGUCAGAAUAUGAUUUUUAAGUUUUAGUAUUGACAUAGAGUGCAAACUAAUUUUACUUGAACACCAUGAACAAUGGAUUUGAUUCAAAUUCAUAAAGCAGUCAUAUUGUAAAAGUACAUAGAUGAACUGCCUUUCAAGUUAUUUCAUGAAAUACACUUUCAUCAGUUAUUGUUGAGCUUCAUUUCAUUUGGUUUGCGCUUAAAUCAUUUUGCAGACUUGCAUGCUUCAGCAUUCUGUUUUCUGACAAAAAAACACUUUCAGUACAAUAUCAUCUUUUCAUAGAUGGUAUCUUCUGUUCAAUGAUUUAAUGAGCAUAUUGCUAAAAUUUUGUUCAAACCUAGAAAAUUGACCUCCGAAGUUUUCACAAGAUCACUGAUAUCUAUUUUCUCAUUCUACCUAAAUUUUCAUUAAACUUCUUUAUAAAUUUCUUUCGUCACUUUUACAAUUUUAAUUUCUAUCAUAAUUUAUACUAGAUCUUCAAUUUCUACAAGAUCCAUAGUCAGAUUUUUAACUUUUGGUAGAUGAUUGCAGAUGGAUAAUUUUUCGAUUAUACAUGGAUAUGAUGGAUGUUCGUUUCAAAAGCAUUACAUUGACCAGGAUUCGGGGGAUAGCUUUGUCUUAUCAAGAGCUCACAAGUAUAGAUUACAGUGCUAUUAUAUUGAACCACGUAUUGUGCUGCUUGGCAUAUAAAUUAUGGAUUCUGUUUGUUCUUAUUGUAUUUCCUGUGCUGGAGUUUAAAUAUCUAGCUAAUGAUAGGUCAAUUCACAGAUUGGUAUUGAUCAUUCUGGAACAUAAAACAUUCCUAAAAGCCUUGAGACAUCUCAGGAGACUUUUGCUGUCCCCAAGAGCCUUGAGAAGUCGUAUCAGGCUUUUGCUGCCCCCAUCCUCCUUCAGAAAUAUCAAGAGAAUUUUGCCGACCCCAAAUGCCUGGAGAAGAAGCAUCAGCAGGCUUUUUCUUCCCCCAAGCACCUUUAGACAACUUGGCCUGUCCCGAAGUUCCCUCAGAAGAACCAUCAGCAAGCUUUUGCUGCCCCCAAGUACCUUCUGAAGUAGUAUCCGCAUUUUGCUGCCCCCAAGCACCUUUAAAAAUCUCAGGAGACUUUUGCCAUCCCCAACUGCCCUGAGAAGUAUUGGAGGCUUUUCGUCCCCCCAAGCACCUUUAGAAAUCUCAGGGGACUUUUGUCGUCCCCAAAUUCCCUGAGAAGAAGCAUCAAGUGCCUUCUGAAGUAGUAUCGACAUUUUGCUGCCCCCAAGAAUGACGGGCAGUAGACUUAUCUUCAGCUUAAAUAUCUAAACUGUUAUGUAAAGCAUAUUCAAACAUUUCUGCAGUCUUCGAUCUUCAGCCAAACCGUUGGCUUCAAAGUUUGGCUGAGAAGGGAAAUCCAAGCUCUUAUGCAGAAAUGUGUAAGCCAUGCAUUACCAAUAUGAUGGAGUUCAAUUCUAUUAAAGUACCUGAAUGACGUCAACAGGUAGUGCAACACUUGAACAUCAGAACCUUAUCACAUCAACAAUUUUUGGUCAUAUUAUUUUCAGCCUGCUUUCAAAACCCUAUCACAUCAACAAUUUUUGGAUUAUACAAUGAUCAAGAAAGAUCACAAUCCUUUUGCGCUGUUUUCUGGAGCUUUGGCUCAGCUUUUACAACAAAGUGGAUUACAGCUCACUGUAUGCUACUGCAGACAUUCCAGAAUGAAUCAAAGCUGAUGAAAGUCUCUUCUAGACUAAAUUAACAAGCACAAAUUCCAAAAGCAAAAGCGGAAAACUUAUUCAGCUGAUUUCAUUCUGAUCAUCUAAGUCACCUAUGAUGACCUGGAAAUUGAACUAGGAGGCUGGCAGAAGCAAAAAUUCCAGAAGAAAUUCAACAAGUUUGCAAGGAAGUUCAAGCAAAGUUCAGUUACCAGCCCUGUUUAUCUGCACUCAAAAUUGUAUUCUGUCUCCAAGAACUAUAUUCAGUUGGUAGUCCUGUUCAUUAUACGGGCAUUUGCUCUUUCAGUUUCAGUUUCAUGUCAACUAUAUUCAGUCUCAGUUUCAGUUGGCAGUCAUGUUCAUUACACAACUACUUAUGUAUAUAAUCACUAACUUUCCUAAACAAUUCACUAACAAUCCUAA